rnacentral:rRNA from 1 species
AUUGAACGCUGGCGGCAGGCCUAACACAUGCAAGUAGAGAGGAGCGGCGGACGGGUGAGUAAUGCCUAGGAAUCUGCCUGGUAGUGGGGGAUAAAGUCCUGAAACGGGCGCUAAUCCCGCAUACUCUCAGAUGAGCCUAGUGAGGAUUAGCUAGUUGGUGGGGGAAAGGCCUACCAAGGCGACGAUCCGUAACUGGGCUGAGAGGAUGAUCAGUCACACUGGAACUGAGACACGGUCCAGACUCCUACGGGAGGCAUCAGGGGGGAAUAUUGGACAAUGGGCGAAAGCCUGAUCCAGCCAUGCCGCGUGUGUGAAGAAGGUCUUCGGAUUGUAAAGCACUUUAAGUUGGGAGGCGUUACCAACAGAAUAAGCACCGGCUAACUUCGUGCCAGCAGCCGCGGUAAUUC